GACCUCGGAUCAGGUAGGGAUACCCGCUGAACUUAAGCAUAUCAAUAAGCGGAGGAAAAGAAACCAACAGGGAUUGCCUCAGUAACGGCGAGUGAAGCGGCAACAGCUCAAAUUUGAAAUCUGGCCUUCGGGUCCGAGUUGUAAUUUGCAGAGGAUGCUUCGAGCAUGGUCUAGUCUAAGUUCCUUGGAAUAGGACGUCAUAGAGGGUGAGAAUCCCGUAUGCGACUGGGUGCCUAAGCUCAUGUGAAGCUCCUUCGACGAGUCGAGUUGUUUGGGAAUGCAGCUCAAAAUGGGUGGUAAAUUUCAUCUAAAGCUAAAUAUUGGCCAGAGACCGAUAGCGCACAAGUAGAGUGAUCGAAAGAUGAAAAGCACUUUGGAAAGAGAGUUAAAUAGCACGUGAAAUUGUUGAAAGGGAAGCGC
rnacentral:rRNA from 1 species